rnacentral:rRNA from 1 species
AUUGAACGCUGGCGGCAGGCUUAACACAUGCAAGUCGAGCGGGGGAAGGUAGCUUGCUACCGGACCUAGCGGCGGACGGGUGAGUAAUGCUUAGGAACCUGCCUAUUAGUGGGGGACAACAUCUCGAAAGGGAUGCUAAUACCGCAUACGUCCUACGGGAGAAAGCAGGGGAUCUUCGGACCUUGCGCUAAUAGAGGAGCCUAAGUCGGAUUAGCUAGUUGGUGGGGUAAAGGCCUACCAAGGCGACGAUCUGUAGCGGGUCUGAGAGGAUGAUCCGCAACACUGGGACUGAGACACGGCCCAGACUCCUACGGGAGGCAGCAGUGGGGAAUAUUGGACAAUGGGGGGAACCCUGAUCCAGUCAUGCCGCGUGUGUGAAGAAGGCCUUAUGGUUGUAAAGCACUUUAAGCGAGGAGGAGGCUACUUUAGUUAAUACCUAGAGAUAGUGGACGUUACUCGCAGAAUAAGCACCGGCUAACUCUGUGCCAGCAGCCGCCGUAA